CCCCAGCUGUGCGUCGUUUGCCCUGUUUCCGUCGCCGACCGGAGCUUCUCGGGUGCGUCACCGAGUACACACGUCUCCUCCUUUCCUUCUUCGGGACCAAAUCAUUUCAUUUUUUGAUGAUGAUAACUCGAUUGUGGCUUGGUGAUGCAGCCACCAAAUCAUUUCAUUUCCUGAUGAUGAGAAGUCAACUGCAUGUAUUUUGGGAACCACAUGAGAACUAGGUCUUUGCCAACAAAGCAUCCUUUCAUUUUACCUGUAUCGUCGCCAACGCCAAGAUGAGAUGACACUACUGUUAUUUGUGUAUAUAACCGAGUGUUGUAAAGUUUAAUUAUGUUUUUCUAUUCAAGUCAAUCAUAUUAUAUA